rnacentral:rRNA from 1 species
ACGAACGCUGGCUGCGUGCUUAACACCUGCAAGUCGCACGGAAAGGCCCUGCUUUUGUGGGGUGCUCGAGUGGCGAACGGGUGAGUAACACGUGAGUAACCUGCCCUUGACUUUGGGAUAACUUCAGGAAACUGGGGCUAAUACCGGAUAGGAUCUCCUGCUGCAUGGUGGGGGUUGGAAAGUUUCGGCGGUUGGGGAUGGACUCGCGGCUUAUCAGCUUGUUGGUGGGGUAGUGGCUUACCAAGGCUUUGACGGGUAGCCGGCCUGAGAGGGUGACCGGCCACAUUGGGACUGAGAUACGGCCCAGACUCCUACGGGAGGCAGCAGUGGGGAAUAUUGCACAAUGGGCGGAAGCCUGAGGCAGCAACGCCGCGUGCGGGAUGACGGCCUUCGGGUUGUAAACCGCUUUCGCCUGUGACGAAGCGUGAGUGACGGUAAUGGGUAAAGAAGCACCGGCUAACUACGUG